UGUAUUUAUUAGAUAAAAAACCAAUGCCCUUCGGGGCUCUUUGGUGAUUCAUGAUAACUUUACGGAUCGCAUAGCCUUGCGCUGGCGACGGUUCAUUCAAAUUUCUGCCCUAUCAACUUUCGAUGGUAAGGUAUUGGCUUACCAUGGUUUCAACGGGUAACGGGGAAUUAGGGUUCGAUUCCGGAGAGGGAGCCUGAGAAACGGCUACCACAUCCAAGGAAGGCAGCAGGCGCGCAAAUUACCCAAUCCCGACACGGGGAGGUAGUGACAAUAAAUACUGAUACAGGGCUCUUUUGGGUCUUGUAAUUGGAAUGAGUACAAUUUAAACCUCUUAACGAGGAACAAUUGGAGGGCAAGUCUGGUGCCAGCAGCCGCGGUAAUUCCAGCUCCAAUAGCGUAUAUUAAAGUUGUUGCAGUUAAAAAGCUCGUAGUUGAAACUUGGGCCUGGCUGGCGGGUCCGCCUCACCGCGUGCACUCGUCCGGCCGGGCCUUCCUUCUGAAGAACCUCAUGCCCUUCACUGGGCGUGUUGGGGAACCAGG
rnacentral:rRNA from 1 species